rnacentral:rRNA from 1 species
GAUGAACGCUAGCGGCAGGCCUAACACAUGCAAGUCGAGGGGUAGAAGGAGCUUGCUCCUUUGAGACCGGCGCACGGGUGCGUAACGCGUAUGCAAUCUACCUUGUACAGGGGAAUAGCCCAGAGAAAUUUGGAUUAAUGCCCCAUAGUAUAUAACCUUCGCAUGUUGGUUAUAUUAAAGUUCCAACGGUACAAGAUGAGCAUGCGUCCCAUUAGUUAGUUGGUAAGGUAACGGCUUACCAAGACGAUGAUGGGUAGGGGUCCUGAGAGGGAGAUCCCCCACACUGGUACUGAGACACGGACCAGACUCCUACGGGAGGCAGCAGUGAGGAAUAUUGGUCAAUGGUCGCAAGACUGAACCAGCCAUGCCGCGUGCAGGAAGACGGUCCUAGGGAUGGUAAACUGCUUUUAUACAGGAAGAAACCCUCCCACGUGUGGGAGCUUGACGGUACUGUAGGAAUAAGGAUCGGCUAACUCCGUG